rnacentral:lncRNA from 1 species
GAUGAUCGCAGAAACACCGAUGAAUCGUUGUCGCUUUGCUUAGUGUUCUGCUUCGCACCUGCGUGUUUGACAGUUAGCCGCUAGCCAGACACCUAGCCAGGGAGAGGCUAUACCAAAGACGGUACAUCAUGAAGAUCAUCGGGCACGCUUGUUGGCGAUGUUGGCUAGCAAAGCUCAUACGUAGAAACACGUUAUCGGGUCGUCUCGCGCCGAACUGCGCAUGUGCAUGUCGUCAACUCAGAGGCACUCCUAUAUAAAGUUGUUUUUGACGAAAAUGAAAACGUGUCAGUUUGUGACUCUCACAGGGUUGGAGUAAUAACAAGUUCAACUACAUAAGACAUUGGCUCGAAUCUAGGUUGUUCCUUUAGAUUUCGAGAAAACGUAUAAGUAAGUAAGAUCCCGGAAGUCUCGCGAUGUUACGCCUUCUGUCUUUGGCUAUAUGGACACACCUGGUGCCCAAAUUGAUGACGUAUGUAAGUAUAUCGCGCAGCUGAGAGUCAAGUGUGGAGUUUUGCAAUUGUUUUAGAUGCAAUUCCCGCAGAUGCGGAUUUAUUAUUGAGGAACGUGUCAAGACCUGGGCCCUGUUUCAGAAAGCAGGUUUAACAAACUCUGAGUUUAAACCUGAACUCUGGGUUGACUAACUCUGAGCUGUCAAACUCUUGAGUUUUCGGUUUCAGAGGAGGUGAUAACAAUUAGUUCAAUCAACUCUGAGUUAAGUUAACCCUGAGUAAAGCACGUGCAUGAGGAGAUAAAAAGCCCUAAUCAAAGGAACGCAGAUAACAUGAUUCAUCAUGGCAACAGGAGAAAAGGGCUCCAACCUCCUACUUGCCCAGUGGAGUUAGAAAUAUUAACAUAUGCAGAAUAUGAGCAUAUAUUUAAGGAAAAAAGCAAUGCAGCAGCAAAAGAACGUGAGUUGGCGUGGCAGAAAAUUGUUGAUCGAGUCAAUGCCCACUGAAGAUGAAAUAUACUUCAAACAGUGUUACCUCAGUGACACCCACCCAUCCAUCUGACACAACUUUGCACACUGAUUUUCUUUAGAGGUACAAUUAUUUGUAAUUGACUUGUUACUUUUUUCAGAUUCUUAGUUGUCCUUCAGAUGUCAUAAUCUAUUUUAAGGUGACUCAGAAUUAUAUAUUUGAAAAAUUGUGAUGUGGCCUACACACUGUUGUAAAACCAAAAUUCAAAUUAUGUGGGGCACUUUUCUGGGUAAAGUUACAAUUGAACUGUCUAAUCUUAAUAUUCUACCAGUUACUGAUGGUGUAAUCUGUCUGGAGCCUUCUGCCAUAACAGACCUCCAUGCAGUUGAGGAUGAAGACACCUUGUCAGCUGCCACAGAGAGGGAAAAUACAGAGAGGCCUAUUGACGUUUACACCUUAAAAAUUACAUCUAACAGUUGAUGGUGUUGUACCAUAAUAAAACUUGCACCUUUUUCUCUAACAGAGCAAUGCUGGAAAUUACACCUACACAGCACAAUUUACCUCAGUAAGAUUUUGUUCAGCAUUGGCCCAUUACUUACAAUGAAAUUAAGUAGACCUGGCACUGAAAUUCAAUGUCAUUUUUUUGUGUUCCUAUAGCUCCCUGUGAAACAGCUGUACUAUGUGUACUUAAAGAACCAAAUUGAAAAAUGUAAUUUAGAUUUUACUUGUUUGAACAUAAAAGUAUUACUGUACUGCAUUUGUACUUGCAGGAAAUAAAGACUUCAUAAAAAGAAAGGCAUAUUGUCUUUAUUUGACACUGGGGAGGUGAUGGGUCAAUUAGAAAUGAUGGUAGCAUAUUGUGUCUGACUGCUCUUCCAUCUUCUGCGUCAGCGGGGUGGUGUCAGGAACGUUCACUGGUUGAGGACAUUGUUCUUCUCUUGUGGGGAAUCACACAUGCCACAAUGUCACGUGCCCUUUCUGGGGUGACCCUGAGCCUACGAAGGCACUGGAACAGGGCCUUGAGCAUCCCAAAGGUCAUCUCUACCCUGGAUCGUGUCCUGCAGUGAGCCAAGUUAUAACGUUGCUGCGGGCUAUGCCCAGGAUCAGGGUAAGGGGUCAGCAAAUAGAGCUGGCAGGGGUACUCUCUGUCACCAAGCAGGUUACCAUUGAACUCUCCUAUGAUAAUACGAGGCUACAGUUUAAAUUUUCA